rnacentral:rRNA from 1 species
UACGAACCGUGCGAACGUUGUUCGGAUUCACUGGGCUUAAAGGGCGCGUAGGCGGUCGACCAAGUCUGGGGUGAAAUCUUUCGGCUUAACCGGAAAAGUGCCCCCGAUACUGGCCGGCUAGAGGGAGAUAGGGGCAUGUGGAACUUCCGGUGGAGCGGUGAAAUGCGUAGAUAUCGGAAGGAACGCCGGUGGCGAAAGCGACGUGCUGGAUCUCUUCUGACGCUGAGGCGCGAAAGCCAGGGGAGCAAACGGG